rnacentral:rRNA from 1 species
GAUGAACGCUGGCGGCGUGCUUAACACAUGCAAGUCGAACGAUGAAGCCCAGCUUGCUGGGUGGAUUAGUGGCGAACGGGUGAGUAACACGUGAGUAACCUGCCCUUGACUCUGGGAUAAGCCUGGGAAACUGGGUCUAAUACCGGAUAGGAACGUCCACCGCAUGGAGGUUGUUGGAAAGAUUUAUCGGUCAUGGAUGGACUCGCGGCCUAUCAGCUUGUUUGUGAGGUAAUGGCUCACCAAGGCGACGACGGGUAGCCGGCCUGAGAGGGGGAGCGGGCACACUGGGAAUGAGACACGGCCCAGACUCCUACGGGAGGCAGCAGUGGGGAAUAUUGCACAAAGGGCGAAAGCCUGAUGCAGCGGGGCCGCGUGAGGGAUGACGGCCUUCGGGUUGUAAACCUCUUUCAGUAGGGAAGAAGCGAAAGUGACGGUACCUGCAGAAGAAGCACCGGCUAACUACGUGCCAGCCGCCGCCGUAA